GACUCAAGCUAGAAAACGUAAACAGAACGUGUUUAGGGGGAGGACUGACGCAAUUCUUUCUGUACUACAUAUACUCCCUUAUUCUCGGUCUUGAACAACUGACAGCAAUGGGGGAUGCAGACGAUUUUUCAUCCUCAAAGUUAGGCACCAAAGAACACUGGGAAUCUACAUAUGAACUAGAACUGUCAAACUUUACAAACCAUGGAGAUAUUGGAGACAUUUGGUUUGGUGAAGACAGCAUGCAGCGUGUGGUGGACUGGGUCCUGGAAUCGGACAAUGUGAAGGAGAAUUUCUCCAUUCUUGAUAUUGGGUGUGGGAAUGGUGCUUUCCUGCUAUGUCUUGCCAGUGAAGGCUUUAAUAAUCUGUUUGGGAUUGAUUAUUGUGGUACUGCUAUAAAGCUAGCAGAAGCCAUAGCAAAUAGCAAGAAAGCAGACAUCAAAUAUGAGACUGUAGAUUUGCUGGCAGAACACAAAAAAAGUGAAUUAACAGGAAGGAAGUAUGACGUCACCCAUGAUAAGGGUACAUAUGAUACCAUUUCCUUAAUGCCAGAAGAUGCUGAGACCAAGAGACAGCAGUACAUCAAGGAGGUUUACAAACUAACCAAAGACCAAGGUUUAUUCAUUAUCACCUCCUGCAACUGGACUGAAGAAGAGCUUAUUUCUCAUGUAUCAGAUUAACUGUUCAGAAGGGAGAAGGUUGAAUGAUUUAGGAAGAAAUUGAAGUUUGAGACCUGCAGGCCAAGAACUCCUUGUAGGGUAGGGUAUAGGGAGACAUUUUGCUGAAGCAUAUGUCACAGAUUUCAGUGUGGAUGAAGUGAUCCCAACACCUACAUUUUCAUUUGGCGGAAAGGUUGGAUCUGUUGUUACUUCUAUAGUUUUCAAGAAGGUUGUCAGUUAAAGUUCAUUCCAUUCAUGUUGGAGACACAUCAGUAAAGUCUGAUUUUUGUUUUAUAUGAGU